GGAUUAGAUACCCCUGUAGUCUUAGCAGUAAACACUGCUCACUAAACAUUUGCACCUCCUCGAGAGGUGUUAGUGCUGUAGCGAAGGCGAAGAGUGAGCUACCUGGGAAGUAUAGUCGCAAGACCGAAACUUAAAGGAAUUGGCGGGGAGGCACUACAACGGGUGACGCGUGCGGUUCAAUUGGACUCUACACCGUGAAUCUCACCAGGACCGACAGCAGAAUGAAGGUCAGUCUAGAGGGCUUACCUGACACGCUGAGAGGAGUUGCAUGGCCGACAUAAGCCUGUGCUGUGAAGUGACUUGUUAAAUCAAGUAACAGGCGAGACCCCUGUCUCUAAUUUCUACGAAAGAACACAUUAGAGAGACUGCCUUGGUAACAAGGAGGAGGGUGGGGACGAUGUUAGGUGAGUACAGCCUGAAUGCCCUGGGCAACACGCGCGCGGCAAUGUCACAUUCAAUGAGAUGCGACUCUGAAAAGAGAAGCUAAUCUCCUAACAUGUGGCCUAGUUCAGAUUGAGGUUUGUAACCCAACCUCAUGACGCUGGAAUCCGUAGUAAUCGUUCAUUA
rnacentral:rRNA from 1 species